rnacentral:rRNA from 1 species
GACCUGAACUCAGACGUGAGUACCCGCUGAACUUAAGCAUAU